GCUUACGGCCAUAUCAGCCCAAAGACGCCCGUUCUCGUCUGAUCUCGGAAGCUAAGAAGGCUUGGGCCUGGUUAGUACUUGGAUGGGAGACCUCCUGGGAAUACCAGGUGCUGUAAGCU
ensembl:rRNA 5S_rRNA 5S ribosomal RNA